AACACUUAUGUGUAUGUAUUUGUUUAUUUUGUAACAAAGCUUUAGAGAGGUGAAAACAGUCCUCUUUCAAAACCCAAAACUUAUUGUUGCGUAUGAGAUUCUGGUAUAUAUAAGAAGGAAUAUG